CGGCCCCGGCGCGGCAUCCCCGCGGCUCCCGCGCGGCGCGCCCCGCGGCCGGCGCUUACCUGGCGCGGCUGCGGCUGCGUUGAAACUGUUACGUUUUCCCUGAUGGUGACUCAUCCAUCUAUAACUAGAGCAAAAAGUCCAGUUGACCAUCAGAGGCCUUUUUGUUCACAAAAAUUUUGUUGAAGAGCAAUCUAUUUUUUGUGCGAAACCCUUACCCAGCCUAUCCUUAGCCAUUGUGCUGUCAGGAAUUUGUGCUUCACACUACUCGUUUAUCAAGCCACAUCCUGUGCAAGUUCCCUGAUACCAAUGCAUACUUCUUUUUGCAAGCUGGUGCUUUCAUCUGAGAAGCAUACCACCACAGCAGUGACGUCUUGAGGGAUUUGGAGGUGGAAGGCCAUCAUUACUUCAAGUCUCUUCGUGAUAAUUCUCUGUACAUAAAAAUACUUUAACAAAAGUAUAUGCUUUUAAAAAUUUCAAAUGUGUCAUUCUCUCAAGUAUUUCAGAGAACUGCUUAGUAGAUGACCAACAUAUAUUAAGUAAAUAAAAAUUGCCAGAUGUUCAUUAGUGUUCAGUAGCCACAAGUCCUUUCAAAGUCAGUGAGGUUGCUGAGGCUUACUAUCUGUGACCUUAUGUUCAGAUAUCUGAAUAUGGAAUUAGGAGCCGUGUUGUAGGUAUGUGACUUUGAAAAAAAUGAACGUGUCACUGAAGGUCUGGGAGAAAGCUUUAGGUGUGUCACAUUACCCUGAAGUGUUCAGAUUUUUGGAAGAGCAUCUAACAAAAAGGAGUACUAUGUUUUAACAAGGAUUUUACAGUUCUUGUCAAGGUAUGAUUGUGUUUAGAUGUUCUCUGGUUUUGCUUUGACACCUAGUGCUGCAAUUAGAGUUGGUGUAACCUUUGUUGUGAAUUUCGCUGGGGCCUGGCUUGAGUUUUAGCUGAGCUUCUUCAGUAGCUGUACUAAGCUUAAUGCAAUGUGCAUUUUUUUCCUGAUAAGUGUUGGAGAUUUUUUAGACAGCCACUGAUCAAUAUUGUUUUUUACUGCUGUCUGUAUGUAAAAUGUUAGGCAAGAUGAAGCUGCAUAGCUAAAAGUGAUUAAAAACAACAGAUAAUUCAAAUGAAAA